rnacentral:rRNA from 1 species
AUCGGCCACAUUGGAACUGAGACACGGUCCAAACUCCUACGGGAGGCAGCAGGGGGGAAUAUUGCACAAUGGGCGAAAGCCUGAUGCAGCAACGCCGCGUGAGUGAUGAAGGCCUUCGGGUCGUAAAGCUCUGUCCUCAAGGAAGAUAAUGACGGUACUUGAGGAGGAAGCCCCGGCUAACUACGUGCCAGCAGCCGCGGUAAGACGUAGGGGGCUAGCGUUAUCCGGA